UUCCUCUUCCUCCUCCCUGGGCCACCCCUACAUUUCUUGCAGUUUCUCAACAUACGUGGUCUUUUUACUUCCAGAGCUUCCUUCAACUGAAGACGUUCUAUAGGGUGAGAGGUAACAUAAAUGAAUACAGAGCUAUUUCGAGGGAAGUGAAGACACAAAAGAGGUACAAUAGGAGGCUGGUGAGAGUAGAUCUUCAAGAGCGGGCAGAUUGGCAACAGAACGGGCUGGAGUUUACGCGGCAGGCAGGAGCUCCGGUUCAUGUCCAUAGUCAAACAGCCUGGGGAGCUGAAGGUCGUGUGUACUGAAGAAUUGCUACAAUCCCUUUCCAAAAACUGGACAGAAAUGGAAGAAACUCUCUUCCAAAUAUCUGCACAAGCAACGUAGGAUAGAAAUGCUCUCAAAACACAGUCGUGUCCUGGGGGCAAGAGAUGUUUUUGAUAAAAGUUGCGAUGACAGCAGUUCACAACAGACCCACAUUCAGGGAACUGUUCCAGCAUGCCAGAGGUUUGGAGGCUUUUAACUCUCAUAAUUCCUCCUCGCACCGCCUGCUAAGCUAAAACAAUGUUAAGGAGCUGACAAACCACAAAGACCAGGAAAUGCAGAGUGAGCGCUGAUGGGAAGAGCUGUGGAAGGUAAAUGUGCAUCAGAACGUAAUCUGGGGGCAUGGGCUAGCCUUAUUAGGCUUGAAAGCCUUUCUGAUGAUUUCCCAGCACACACAGAGGACGCCAGCCCAAAGGUGCCCAGAGAGGGAAGGGAAGGAAAUGAACGUGGUCUGGAUAUCACUGUCCACCUUCCCGGCACAUGCUGCAAACCUGCUACCCGCGUGUAGUGGGCAGUGAGGCUGGCCUAAUGCUAAACUUGGAUCAGCGCUUUGCUGAGUGAGAAGACCAGUGUCAGCCCUUAAUGUAAUGCUUUCUUAAAUUAGUCGCCAUUUCCUGGGAGCAGGAGCAGAGUUGAGGAAUCUGGGUUAGCUUGCAGGGAGGUGUC